GCGUUAGCACCUCUCUUAUCGCGAGAGGAUCCACGAAAGCUUCGAAUUCCUUCUCUUGUCAAAACCCGAAGUUUUAGAACCUUACGCUGUCGCUAAAAUGGGGUUAAUAUUUUACGCUCCUUCACAUCCAGUUUCACACUGAGUUUGAAUGGUGUUAGCUACCCUCACCGUUAGGGAAGGGCUGUAUACCGCGAGUGAUCUGUCUACACAGAUCCGAGUAGGCGAGGAAAUGCCUCUUAUGGUUUAAUCUUGAUCUGCUCCUGGGCCUCACAGCUUGCUUGUUUCCAACUUGGCAAAUACGUUAAUUGCAAAGCACUAUUUCAGCAUUUCCGUUCUUCAACUAAACACACCUUCAUUCCUAUUCUAGUAGCUGCUGUUUAGUCCACACCAACAAAGGCACUUUUCAAAGGCAGCCUAUUCCUCUCUCCUCACAAAUGUUUUUUAGAAAGUUUUCUCUAUCUUUGAAAUUAAAAAAAAAACAAAACUAAGGUAUGUCUAAAUGUGGUUUUCUGUUAUUUUCAAGUUAACUCAGCCUAAUGCUACAAGAUAUUUCAGU